AUUGAACGCUGGCGGCAUGCUUUGCACAUGCAAGUCGAACGGUAACAGGGUGCUUGCACCGCUGACGAGUGGCGAACGGGUGAGUAAUGCGUCGGAACGUGCCGAGUAGUGGGGGAUAACGCAGCGAAAGUUGUGCUAAUACCGCAUACGUACUGAGGUAGAAAGUGGGGGACCUUCGGGCCUCACGCUAUUCGAGCGGCCGACGUCUGAUUAGCUAGUAGGUGAGGUAAAGGCUCACCUAGGCGACGAUCAGUAGCGGGUCUGAGAGGAUGAUCCGCCACACUGGGACUGAGACACGGCCCAGACUCCUACGGGAGGCAGCAGUGGGGAAUUUUGGACAAUGGGCGAAAGCCUGAUCCAGCCAUGCCGCGUGUCUGAAGAAGGCCUUCGGGUUGUAAAGGACUUUUGUCGGGGAGGAAAUCCCCAGCGUUAAUACCGCUGGGGGAUGACAGUACCUGAAGAAUAAGCACCGGCUAACUACGUGCCAGCCGCCGCGGUAAUAC
rnacentral:rRNA from 1 species